CCGAACUAAGUCGUAAGUUGCAUCUCACACUUAUCCGGAUUUUGAACGAGAAUCAUUGAUUAAAUGAGUUUCAUUUUCUUGGUGGUCUGGUUAUAGGCAUCAGCAUGCUUUAAUUGAUCACGGUGUCUAGACAGUAAAACUCGCAAUGUGGAAAGUUCGGAAGAUGGAAGGUUACAUGUUUGAAUUUUCAGAAUGAAAACGAUUGAUUUCAAUCUCGUGCAUGUGGAAUUGGCCAUGUUCCUCCAAAGUUUGAAUUGUGGAAAGUUCGUUUUAUCAGGCUUCUCCAGAACAUCAAAUCUCAAAAACAUCUCCAAAACCCAAGAACAUCAGGUGGAGCAAAACGAGCUUGUGUGGAUAUCACACAGGAUUGCGACAGAAAGAUAUAUUAGACAAAAAAAAAGCUGAGAAUAGGAAAUCAUUCAGCUACAGGCACGGCAGCUCUAGAACAUCAGAUGUCAAGAACAUCUCCAUAACCCAUGAACAUCAGGCGGACUGAAAUGAGCUUGUGUGGAUGACCCACAGGUAAGUCGAUUUUCAUUUGCUCAUAAUUCAGUUCUGUUAAAUGGAAUAUUCCGCAUUCGAUCAAUCGGUUACUUUUUUACUUGAUCAUAGCACAAUUUUCAUGUUUUCCACAAUUUCUUAUGCUUAUUCCCACUUUGCUGUUGUUUGUUGCCUUUAAUUAUGGAAUGUAGUCUUAAGGGAUUUUUUUUAUUACAUUCUUUUAGUUACUAACCUCUAGUGACUUUAUUGUUUCAGAAUUUUAUGAUUUGAUCAAUUUUCGAUCAGAGAAAGUUGCGUUGUUGGCGGAUUUAUCAUUGAAUUUUUCGUAAGGUUGAUUUUAUUUUUACUGCUGUUUUCUCAGGAGGUUUACUUGUUUACAUACAUCGAGAGAUUUAGAUAACAUUAAGAGACAGAGAAAUGUCUUCUUGUAGAAGCCAACCAGUAAAA